AGAGUUUGAUCCUGGCUCAGGAUGAACGCUGGCGGCGUGCUUAAUACAUGCAAGUCGAACGAAGAUAAUAGCAAUAUUGUCUUAGUGGCGAACGGGUGAGUAACGCGUUGGUGACCUGCCCCGAAGAGAGGGAUAACAGUUCGAAAGGACUGCUAAUACCUCAUGUGGUCAAAGAGGUUAGAGUCUCUUUGUCUAAAGGGAGUAAUUCGCUUCGGGAGGGGCCUGCGUCCCAUCAGCUAGUUGGUAAGGUAAUGGCCUACCAAGGCGAUGACGGGUAGGGGACCUGAGAGGGUGGCCCCCCACAAUGGAACUGAAACACGGUCCAUACACCUACGGGUGCCAGCAGCCGCGGUAA
rnacentral:rRNA from 1 species